rnacentral:sRNA from 1 species
GCUGUCGUCAGCUCGUGUCGUGAGAUGUUGGGUUAAGUCCCGCAACGAGCGCAACCCUCGUUCUAUGUUGCCAGCGCGUAAUGGCGGGGACUCAUAGGAGACUGCCGGGGUCAACUCGGAGGAAGGUGGGGAUGACGUCAAAUCAUCAUGCCCCUUAUGUCUUGGGCUUCACGCAUGCUACAAUGGCCGGUACAAAGGGCUGCGAUACCGCAAGGUGGAGCGAAUCCCAAAAAGCCGGUCUCAGUUCGGAUUGAGGUCUGCAACUCGACCUCAUGAAGUCGGAGUCGCUAGUAAUCGCAGAUCAGCAACGCUGCGGUGAAUACGUUCCCGGGCCUUGUACACACCGCCCGUCAAGUCACGAAAGUCGGUAACACCCGACGCCGGUGGCCUAACCCGUAAGGGAGGGAGCCGUCUAAGGUGGGAUUGGCGAUUGGGACUAAGUCGUAACAAGGUAGCCGUACCGGAAGGUGCGGCUGGAUCACCUCCUUUCUAAGGAGCACUUGGCACUCUUCGGGGUGUCCAUAUCUCGCUUCGGACUCAUAUGUAGUUCGGCGAGAGCUCAUGGAUGGAACAUCGACGUGGUAGAGACGCUGAAAGCGUUGAGAUCAAGUACGCCCUAGGGCUGGAACGAUCCCACGAAAGAACAUCACUACAAGGCACACUGUUGGGUCCUGAGGGAUCGGGCGUUUACGCCAGAACCUUCAGGCCAGUCGAAAGACAGGCCGUGCGGACCACUGAAUCCAGAUGAACCACCCGACAACAUUCAACGAAUGUACCCGGGUAGGCGCUGGUGGAAAGUGGGCCCGCCCGCAUUUUGAGAACUGCACAGUGGACGCGAGCAUCUUUGAUUUCUGUAAGUUAAGUUUUUAAGAGCACAUGGUGGAUGCCUUGGCAGUAGGAGCCGAAGAAGGACGUUGUAGCCUGCGAUAAGCCUCGGGGAGUUGGCAAACAAGCUUUGAUCCGAGGAUGUCCGAAUGGGGAAACCCG